ACGCUGGCGGCGCGCCUUACGCAUGCAAGUCGAGCGGUUCCGAUGGCUUCGGCUAUCGGGAUAGCGGCGGACGGCUGAGUAACGCGUAGGUAACCUGCCCGGAGGUGGGGGAUAACCCCGCGAAAGCGGGGCUAAUACCGCAUGUGCUCUUGGGGGGAGGCUCCCCAAGAGGAAAGCCGAAAGACGCUUCCGGAGGGGCCUGCGACCUAUCAGGUAGUUGGUGGGGUAACGGCUCACCAAGCCGACGACGGGUAGCUGGUCUGAGAGGACGGUCAGCCAGACGGGGACUGAGACACGGCCCCGACUCCUACGGGAGGCAGCAGCGAGGAAUCUUGGGCAAUGGGCGAAAGCCUGACCCAGCGACGCCGCGUGGGGGAAGAAGGCUCUCGGGUCGUAAACCCCUUUUGCCGGGGAAGAAGCUCUGACGGUACCCGGCGAAUAAGCCACGGCUAACUACGUGCCAGCAGCCGCGGUAAUACGUAGGUGGCGAGCGUUGUCCGGAUUUACUGGGCGUAAAGGGCGUGUAGGCGGCCCGUUAAGUCCGCUGUGAAAUCUCCCGGCUCAACUGGGAGGGGUCAGCGGAUACUGGCGGGCUAGAGGGGGGCAGAGGAAGGUGGAAUUCCCGGUGGAGCGGUGAAAUGCGUAGAUAUCGGGAGGAACACCAGUGGCGAAGGCGGCCUUCUGGGCCCAUCCUGACGCUGAGGCGCGAAAGCGUGGGGAGCGAACCGGAUUAGAUACCCGGGUAGUCCACGCCCUAAACGUUGGACACUAGGUGUGGGGGGUGUCGACUCCCUCUGUGCCGUAGCUUACGCUUUAAGUGUCCCGCCUGGGGAGUACGGCC
rnacentral:rRNA from 1 species